rnacentral:rRNA from 1 species
AUUGAACGCUGGCGGCAGGCUUAACACAUGCAAGUCGAGCGAGCGGCGGACGGGUGAGUAAUGUCUGGGAAACUGCCUGAUGGAGGGGGAUAACUACUGGAAACGGUAGCUAAUACCGCAUACCAUCAGAUGUGCCCAGCGGGGAUUAGCUAGUAGGUGGGGUAAUGGCCCACCUAGGCGACGAUCCCUAGCUGGUCGGCGAGGAUGACCAGCCCCACUGGAACUGAGACCCGGUCCGUACUCCUACGGUAGGCAGAAGUGGGGAGUAUUGCACAAUGGGCGCAAGCCUGAUCCAGCCAUGCCGCGUGUGUGAAGAAGGCCUUCGUGUUGUAAAGCACUUUCAGCGAGGAGGCGUUACUCUCAGAAGAAGCACCGGCUAACUCCGUGCCAGCAGCCGCGGUAAUAC